CCUGUGGGUUUUAAAAUUCGCCUGCCUAUUGAAGUCUAUGGCGGUUCGCCGGGUUCGCGAACAUUUGCGGAAGUUCGCGUUCGCGGUUCGCGAACCAAAAAUGUCAUGUUCGCGACAUCACUAAUCUGCACUGGGUGCCAGGUAACCUAGUUACACCUCUGCUUCAGACUUUGUGAGGAUGGGCUGAUUAAUUCAGCUGAAAUAUUUUCAAAAACCAAAGAAGAUAUCGGAACAACAUUUUUAUGGAAACUGAUACAAAUGUUCUGGGAAACAAAUAAGGCAGAUGGGAAUGAAACACAGUGAAGACUCAAGGCAAGUGUGAAUCACUGGCCAAUUAAGGGUAAACAAUUGUAAUGUAUUAUAAUAGCCUCCCCUUUUGAACAUGUUAG